UGAAUGAAAUCAUCAAUUAUGUUCAAUCUCUUCAACGGCAAGUAGAGAUUUUCAAGAAGUUCGGAGGAUCGGAUCAACACAUCGAGCCACACUAUCCAGUUUGCUCCGGUAGAUUUUGUUAUACAUUUUGUGGUUUAUAUGGCAUCUAUAGGGCUGAAUUGAAGAAGAGCUAAAUUUGAAGUAUGGUUGUGAAUGACUUAUAUAUAUUUGUUUGUAUGCAUGUAUUUAGUAGUAGAUUUUGAUAAAUCAAUGAAUGGAGUUAAUUUGGUAAGCUUAGGCAAUUGAGUUUUGUGAUGA